UACGUAGGGGGCAAGCGUUAUCCGGAUUUACUGGGUGUAAAGGGGGCGCAGACGGCGAUGCAAGCCAGGAGUGAAAGCCCGGGGCCCAACCCCGGGACUGCUCUUGGAUCUGCGUGGCUGGAGUGCAGGAGGGGCAGGCGGAAUUCCUGGUGUAGCGGUGAAAUGCGUAGAUAUCAGGAGGAACACCGGUGGCGAAGGCGGCCUGCUGGACUGCAACUGACGUUGAGGCCCGAAAGCGUGGGGAGCAAACAGG
rnacentral:rRNA from 1 species